rnacentral:rRNA from 1 species
GUGGGGAAUAUUGGGCAAUGGGCGAAAGCCUGACCCAGCAACGCCGCGUGAAGGAAGAAGGUCUUCGGAUCGUAAACUUCUAUCCUUGGUGAAGAUAAUGACGGUAGCCGAGAAGGAAGCCCCGGCUAACUACGUGCCAGCAGCCGCGGUAAUACGUAGGGGGCAAGCGUUGUCCGGAAUGAUUGGGCGUAAAGGGCGCGUAGGCGGCCUGGUAAGUCUGGAGUGAAAGUCCUGCUUUUAAGGUGGGAAUUGCUUUGGAUACUGUCGGGCUUGAGUGCAGGAGAGGUAAGUGGAAUUCCCGGUGUAGCGGUGAAAUGCGUAGAGAUCGGGAGGAACACCAGUGGCGAAGGCGGCUUUCUGGACUGACCCUGACGCUGAGGUGCGAAAGCGUGGGUAGCAAACAGGAUUAGAAACCCGGGUAGUCC